GAUGAAGAACGCAGCGAAAUGCGAUAAGUAGUGUGAAUUGCAGAAUUCAGUGAAUCAUCGAAUCUUUGAACGCACAUUGCGCCCUUUGGUAUUCCUUAGGGCGUGCCUGUUCGAGCGUCAUUUAAACCUUCAAGCUCAGCUUGGUGUUGGGUGACUGUCCGCUUCACCGCGGACUCGCCUCAAAAUUAUUGGCGGCCGGUACAUUGGCUUCGAGCGCAGCAGAAACGCGAACUCGGGCCCGUCGUAUUGGCUCCCAGAAGCUAUCUUCACAAUUUUGACCUCGGAUCAGGUAGGGAUACCCGCUGAACUUAAGCAUAUCAAUAAGCGGAGGA
rnacentral:misc_RNA from 1 species